GAUGAACGCUGGCGGCGUGCCUAAUACAUGCAAGUCGAGCGAACAGACGAGGAGCUUGCUCCUCUGACGUUAGCGGCGGACGGGUGAGUAACACGUGGAUAACCUACCUAUAAGACUGGGAUAACUUCGGGAAACCGGAGCUAAUACCGGAUAAUAUAUUGAACCGCAUGGUUCAAUAGUGAAAGACGGUUUUGCUGCUCCUUCUAGAUUGAUCCUCGCCGCAUUAGCUAGUUGGUAAGGUAACGGCUUACCAAGGCAACGAUGCGUAGCCGACCUGAGAGGGUGAUCGGCCACACUGUAACUGAGACACGGUCCAGACUCCUACGGGAGGCAGCAGUAGGGAAUCUUCCGCAAUGGGCGAAAGCCUGACGGAGCAACGCCGCGUGAGUGAUGAAGGUCUUCGGAUCGUAAAACUCUGUUAUUAGGGAAGAACAAAUGUGUAAGUAACUAUGCACGUCUUGACGGUACCUAAUCAGAAAGCCACGGCUAACUACGUGCCAGCCGCCGCAGUAA
rnacentral:rRNA from 1 species